UACGUAGCAGCAAGCGUUGUUCGGAAUUACUGGGCGUAAAGAGUGUGUAGGCGGUGCUCUAAGUUCGGUGUGAAACCUCCCGGCUCAACUGGGAGGGUGCGCCGGAAACUGGAGUGCUGGAGCGCGGGAGAGGAAAGCGGAAUUCCUGGUGUAGCGGUGAAAUGCGUAGAUAUCAGGAGGAACACCGGCGGUGUGAAGAC
rnacentral:rRNA from 1 species